GAUGAACGCUGGCGGCGUGCCUAAUACAUGCAAGUCGAGCGAACAGACGAGGAGCUUGCUCCUCUGACGUUAGCGGCGGACGGGUGAGUAACACGUGGAUAACCUACCUAUAAGACUGGGAUAACUUCGGGAAACCGGAGCUAAUACCGGAUAAUAUAUUGAACCGCAUUGUUCAUUAGUGAAAUACGGUUUUGCUGUCACUUAUAGAUGGUUCCGCGCCGCAUUAGCUAGUUGGUAAGGUAACGGCUUACCAAGGCUGCGAUGCGUAGCCGACCUGAGAGAGUGAUCGCCGACACUGGAGCUGAGACACGGACCAGAGUUCUUCGGGAUGCAACAGAAGGGAAUGUUCCGCAUUGGGCGAAAGCCUGCCCGAGCAACGGCGCGCAAGAGAUGAUGGUUUACGGAUCGUAAAACUCGGUUGUUAGGGAAGAUCAACUUUGUAAGGAACUAGGCACGGAUUGACGGUACCUAAUCAGAAAGCCACGGCAAACUACGUG
rnacentral:rRNA from 1 species